rnacentral:rRNA from 1 species
UGGGGAAUAUUGGACAAUGGGCGCAAGCCUGAUCCAGCCAUGCCGCGUGAGUGAUGAAGGCCCUAGGGUUGUAAAGCUCUUUCACCGGUGAAGAUAAUGACGGUAACCGGAGAAGAAGCCCCGGCUAACUUCGUGCCAGCAGCCGCGGUAAUACGAAGGGGGCUAGCGUUGUUCGGAUUUACUGGGCGUAAAGCGCACGUAGGCGGACUAUUAAGUCAGGGGUGAAAUCCCGGGGCUCAACCCCGGAACUGCCUUUGAUACUGGUAGUCUUGAGUUCGAGAGGGGUGAGUGGAAUUCCGAGUGUAGAGGUGAAAUUCGUAGAUAUUCGGAGGAACACCAGUGGCGAAGGCGGCUCACUGGCUCGAUAAUGACGCUGAGGUGCGAAAGCGUGGGGAGCAAACAGG